CGAGUGUCAUCCAGAUGUUAAGACGGAAAUUUGCAGCCAGUUUGCUAAUUGUGAGCUACGUUCAAUGGUCAUUGUCGAUAGAAGCAUGUUGGGAUCGGAUACUUCGGUGACUGAUUAUCCAGGAAAGAUUCCAAAGGGGAUUGACCUUCCAAGUGAUGCUGUUGUAGAUGAUAACAACAUCAAAGUUGAGUGAUUCUUUAUGGACACUUCAUUGUCUUCAACUUUCUAUUUAUCUAUACACAAACCCCUUCUUUGUUGUAUGCAACUCUCUUAUUAGUCUUACUAUUGACUUAUUGAGUUAAAGAUACUUUCCUAGUUCACUUAAUUGGGAGUUGGGUCAUAA